rnacentral:lncRNA from 1 species
GAGUUCAUCAGCACAAUGUCUUACUCCUGGGCAAUCCAGACGGGAUGGGGAUGGAAUGUGCGCUGAUCUGCACCUCAGCUUGUGAUAAUUGAAGCGACAGCAGUGCCUCGGGGAUGUUGCUUGACAGCUGCAUGGUUGCUAGAGGGAUGUAAAUUGCCUUUGAACAUGGCAGGCGGAGCAUCAUUUGCACAGAAGGAAAAUUGCCGGAGAGCACGUUCACGUUUAGAGCCAUCU